rnacentral:tRNA from 1 species
GGGGUACUGGCUCAGUGGUAGAGCACUUGCCUAGCAUGUGGGAGGCCCUGGGUUCGAUCCUCAGCACCA